rnacentral:rRNA from 1 species
AUGAAAACAACGUCGUGGAGGUCGAACCCGAGGCCGUGUGGUCGUGUGUGUGGAGUCAGGGGACGGAGAGAUACUUGGCGUUGCUCUCCAGAGUGGCUGAGGGGUCGGAGGCGCGGCGACGAGCUACUCCGAGCUGGAGCUCAAGCUCGGCCGGAGCAUGGUGGGCAGGGCGAUGGCGUGGCGUGGCUAGCCUUACCUGGCGGCGGCGAGGGAAGGAGAGGAUGGGGAUCGGUCGAGGAGGAACCCUAG